UUACAAUAUGUUACGACAAGUUUAAAUAUAUUUAAACAUUUUGCUCAUAAGAAAUUCAUGUUAGAUAAAAAUGGAACAAUCCAGAACACCUGUACAAGAACAAGGUAUAAAGGGCAUGGAGAGUCGCGUGACGUAUGUGCUGAGGCACUGUGCUAGUGAUGACGUCAGACGUAAGGCUCUCCUCUUCCAGCGCGCGCUCCUUGUCGCCGUAUAUUUGAUAGUGAUCUUGUUAAUCGCCAUAUUUGUUGUUGAAUUGUUGGAUUAC